rnacentral:rRNA from 1 species
UACGUAGGUGGCAAGCGUUAUCCGGAAUUAUUGGGCGUAAAGCGCGCGCAGGCGGUCCUUUAAGUCUGAUGUGAAAGCCCACGGCUCAACCGUGGAGGGUCAUUGGAAACUGGGGGACUUGAGUGCAGAAGAGGAGAGCCGAAUUCCACGUGUAGCGGUGAAAUGCGUAGAGAUGUGGAGGAACACCAGUGGCGAAGGCGGCUCUCUGGUCUGUAACUGACGCUGAGGCGCGAAAGCGUGGGGAGCGAACAGG